rnacentral:rRNA from 1 species
CAAUAGCGUAUAUUAAAGUUGUUGCAGUUAAAAAGCUCGUAGUUGGAUUUCUGGUUUGAUGCGCUUGGCCCGCCAUGUCUACAUGUGUGAGUGCCGAUGCGCGUCUACCAUCCUUCUAGAGAACGUUUCUACCCUUCAUUGGGCCGGACUCGCAAUCUAGAUCUUUUACUUUGAAAAAUUAGAGUGUUCAAAGCAGGCUUGUGCUAUGAAUACAUUAGCAUGGAAUAAUAAUUUAGGACUUUAGCCCUAUUUUGUUGGUUUCUAGGACUGAAGUAAUGAUUGAUAGGGAUAGUUGGGGGUGCUAGUAUUCAGCGGCCAGAGGUGAAAUUCUUGGAUUCGCUGAAGACUAACUUAUGCGAAAGCAUUCACCAAGGAUGUCUUCUUUAAUCAAGAACGAAAGUUGGGGGAUCGAAGAUGAUCAGAUACCAU